rnacentral:rRNA from 1 species
UUCCGAGCAAUCGGAAUGCUGGCGACCGGCAAACGGGUGUGGAACACGUACACAACCUUCCUUUAAGUGGGGAAUAGCCCGGGGAAACCCGGAUUAAUACCCCGUAACAUAAUGAAAAGGCAUCUUUUUAUUAUUAUAGCAGCAAUGCGCUUGAUGAUGGGUGUGCGCCUGAUUAGGCAGUUGGCGGGGUAAUGGCCCACCAAACCUACGAUCAGUAACUGGUGUGAGAGCACGACCAGUCACACGGGCACUGAGACACGGGCCCGACUCCUACGGGAGGCAGCAGUAAGGAAUAUUGGUCAAUGGACGCAAGUCUGAACCAGCCAUGCCGCGUGGAGGAUGAAGGUCCUCUGGAUUGUAAACUUCUUUUAUCUGGGAAGAAACCCACGAAUUCUUUUGUGGUUGACGGUACCAGAUGAAUAAGCACCGGCUAACUCCGUGCCAGCAGCCGCGGUAAUACGGAGGGUGCAAGCGUUAUCCGGAUUCACUGGGUUUAAAGGGUGCGUAGGUGGGCAGGUAAGUCAGUGGUGAAAUCUCCGGGCUUAACUCGGAAACUGCCAUUGAUACUAUCUGUCUUGAAUACCGUGGAGGUCAGCGGAAUAUGUCAUGUAGCGGUGAAAUGCUUAGAUAUGACAUAGAACACCAAUUGCGAAGGCAGCUGGCUACACGAAUAUUGACACUGAUGCACGAAAGCGUGGGGAUCAAACAGGAUUAGAUACCCUGGUAGUCCACGCCCUAAACGAUGGAUACUCGACAUACGCGAUACACAGUGUGUGUCUGAGCG